rnacentral:lncRNA from 1 species
CGCUUACGCGCGCGAGAUUUCGCGUGGCAGCCACCUGCUGAUGCGCAGGCUUUGCCAACCCAGCUUUUCGCCGCUGGAUACUGGAGAGUCCCAACAGUCCAUGAGGACAUGCGCAGAUUAAAACGGGGAACCGAGCAGUUUGAAGACCGAGAAACAGGGCAGCAGCCCUCCGGUCUGUGUUGUUCCUGUCCAGUUUAGAUAAGCAGGAUCCGGUGGAACGGACACCGUUUUCUGUUCUUU